GGAGAGUUGUCCGAGUUGGCCGAAGGAGCCACGCCUGGAAAGUGUGUAGGCGCCACAAGCGUCUCGAGGGUUCGAAUCCCUCACUCUCCG
rnacentral:tRNA from 1 species